rnacentral:tRNA from 1 species
GAGGAUAUAGCUUGGUGGUAAAGCAUUUGUCUAGUGCAUGCAAGGUCCUGGGUUCAAUUCCCAGUACCACA